rnacentral:tRNA from 1 species
GCCCGAGUGGCGGAAUGGCAGACGCACAGGACUUAAAAUCCUGAGGGGGCAACUCCGUGCCGGUUCGAGUCCGGCCUCGGGCACCA